rnacentral:rRNA from 1 species
UACGUAGGGGGCAAGCGUUGUCCGGAUUUAUUGGGCGUAAAGAGCGUGUAGGCGGCUAGGUAGGUCCGUUGUGAAAACUCGAGGCUCAACCUCGAGACGCCGAUGGAAACCAUCUAGCUAGAGUACGGAAGAGGAGAGUGGAAUUCCUGGUGUAGCGGUGAAAUGCGCAGAUAUCAGGAGGAACACCGGUGGCGAAGGCGGGUCUCUGGGCCGUAACUGACGCUGAGGAGCGAAAGCGUGGGGAGCGAACAGG